CGCCGAAUGAGUUUCUGACCUAUCAACUCGAGACGGCGGGGUAGAGGCCCGCCGCGGUAACGACGGGUAACGGGGAAUCAGGGUUCGAUUACCGGAGAGGGAGCCCGAGAAACGGCUACCACUUCCAAGGAAGGCAGCAGGCGCGCAACUUACCCCUAAUCUCGAUUCGAGGAGGUAGUGACAAGAAAUACCGAUGCGGGACCCUACGGGUGCCGCGUUCGGAAUGAGUACGAUUCGAACCACCUAACGAGGAACGAUCGGAGGGCAAGUCUGGUGCCAGCAGCCGCGGUAAUUCCAGCUCCAAUAGCGUACGUUAAAGUUGCUGCAGUUAAAAAGCUCGUAGUUGAACGUUCGGGGUUCCGCGGGACGGGGCCGCCCCGCGAGGGACGGCGCCGCCCCGGGGCUCGUGAUAUCUCAUCUCG
rnacentral:rRNA from 1 species